rnacentral:rRNA from 1 species
GACGAACCGUGCGAACGUUGUUCGGAAUAACUGGGCUUAAAGGGAGCGUAGGCGGGCUAACAAGUCUGGGGUGAAAUCCCGCGGCUCAACCGUGGAACUGCCUCAGAUACUGUCGGCCUCGAGGGAGAUAGGGGCAUGCGGAACUAACGGUGGAGCGGUGAAAUGCGUUGAUAUCGUUAGGAACUCCGGUGGCGAAAGCGGCGUGCUGGAUCUCUUCUGACGCUGAGGCUCGAAAGCUAGGGGAGCAAACGGG